GCUGGGCUGUGCGCUGGGUGGGGCUGCCCUGCGUCGGCCUCCUCCUGCUGAUCCAAGUCCUCAUCCUGCUCUCCACCAAGUGCCCCCGUACAGCAGGGAGAGCAGCAGCAAUGAAGAAUGAUGUGCACCCAAGGCAGAGCCCGGAGACAGAAUAUGCAGCUGUGAGCCACGGCGGCAGAAAUGUUCCUGCAUGACUGAUGUAUUCACAUGUUCAGCCUUAAAAUAAAAAC